rnacentral:misc_RNA from 1 species
GAAAUGCGAUAAGUAGUGUGAAUUGCAGAAUUCAGUGAAUCAUCGAAUCUUUGAACGCACAUUGCGCCCUUUGGUAUUCCUUAGGGCAUGCCUGUUCGAGCGUCAUUUACACCCUCAAGCUCUGCUUGGUGUUGGGCAGCGGAUAGGCCCCCCUUGGGGGGCUGGUCCCGCCUCAAAUGCAUUGGCGGCCGGUUCAUUGGCUUCGAGCGCAGCAGAAACGCGUAACUCGGAUCCGGUGGGCUGGACACCAGAAGGCUUAUUUUAACUUUGACCUCGGAUCAGGUAGGGAUACCCGCUGAACUUAA